rnacentral:rRNA from 1 species
GAAACUAACAAGGAUUCCCCUAGUAGCGGCGAGCGAAGCGGGAAGAGCUCAAAUUUAUAAUCUGGCACCUUCGGUGUCCGAGUUGUAAUCUCUAGAAGUGUUUUCCGCGUUGGACCGCACACAAGUCUGUUGGAAUACAGCGGCAUAGUGGUGAAACCCCCGUAUAUGGUGCGGACGCCCAGCGCUUUGUGAUACACUUUCAAUGAGUCGAGUUGUUUGGGAAUGCAGCUCAAAUUGGGUGGUAAAUUCCAUCUAAAGCUAAAUAUUGGCGAGAGACCGAUAGCGAACAAGUACCGUGAGGGAAAGAUGAAAAGCACUUUGGAAAGAGAGUUAACAGUACGUGAAAUUGUUGGAAGGGAAACGCUUGAAGUCAGACUUGCUUGCCGGAGCUUGCUUCGGUUUGCAGGCCAGCAUCAGUUUUCCGGGGUGGAUAAUGACGGUUUGAAGGUAGCAGUCUCGGCUGUGUUAUAGCUUUCCGUUGGAUACAUCCUGGGGGACUGAGGAACGCAGCGUGCUUUUU